rnacentral:lncRNA from 1 species
AUGUUUCUUUCCCCGGGGGCUUCUUCCCCGUGCGGGCGGGCGCGAGGGCGGGCGCGCGGGCGGCGCACGUGCGGCGGGAGGGGCUCGCGCCCGGCGCGCGCCAGGGGGAGCUCCCCCCGGCCCGCCCGCGCGCCCGCCCGCGCGCCGCCCCCCCCCUCCCCCCCGCCUCCUCCCGCGCCUGCGCAGUGCCGGGGUGGCGCGCGGAGCCGGCGGCCGGGACCGGGCGAGCGGCGCUAUGUUGAGCGCGGCGGCCCCGGGAGCCGGUGCAGCGUCCGCCGCGGGCCCCUCCGCACCCGCCGCCCGCGAGCCCCCACGCCGACGGACCGCACCGCGCGGGACCGGACCGGAGCCCCCCGGGCCCCCGCCCGCAAGGUGACCGCCGCUCCGCCACGCCCCCUUCACCUGCAGGCAUUCAUUCGUUCACUCCGUCCUGCUGAGCGAGCGCUCGCUCUGUGCGGGGCCCUGGGCCGAGCCCUCGCCGCGGACGGCUCCCCCUCUCCUUAUCCCUCCCACCCCCGGCCCCUCCGUCCGUCCGUCCGUCUCCCCCCCCCCCCCUUUCCCUCUCGAUCGUAUUUACGGAGCCCGAGCCCCGGCCAUGGACAGCUCCCCCUUUCAUCGCCCUCUCCCAUUCAUUCGUUGAUUCAUUCGGUCGUAUUUCCGGAGCGCUCACUGUGUGCGGAGCACUGGGCGAGCCCUCGGAAUGGGCAGCUCACCCCUCCCCGCCCCCGGCCCCUCCAUCCGUCCGUCUCCCCCCCUUUCCCAUUCAUUCAUUCAUUCAUUCAUUCAUUCAUUCAAUCGCAUUUACGGAGCGCUCACUCUGGGCACGGCACUGGGCCGAGCCGUUGGAAUGGACAGCUCCCCCUUGCAUUACCCCUUCCCAUUCAUUCAGUCAGUCAGUCAGUCGCAUUUACGGAGCGCUCACUCUGUGCAGAGCGCUGGGCCGAGCCCUCGGAAAGGACGGCUCCCCCUUUCAUUACCCCUCCAUCCGUCCGUCUCCCCCUUUUCCCAUUCAUGCAGUCAGUCGGUCGCAUUUACGGAGCGCCGACUCUGUGCAGAGCGCUGGGCCGAGCCCUCGGAAAGGACGGCUCCCCCUUUCAUUUCCCUUCCCCACCCCCUCCAUCCGUCCACCUGGCCCCUUUCCCAUUCAUGCAGUCAGUCGCAUUUACCGGAGCGCCGACUCUGUGCAGAGCGCUGGGCCGAGCCCUCGCAGUGGACGGCUCCCCCUUUCAUUUCCCCUCCCUCCGUCCGUCCCCCCCCUUUCCCACUCAUUCAGGCAGUCGCAUUUACGGAGGCUCACUCUGUGCAGAGCGCUGGGCCGAGCCCUCGCAGUGGACGGCUCCCCCUUUCAUUUCCCCUCCCUCCGUCCGUCUCCCCCCUUUCCCACGCAUUCAGGCAGUCAGUCGCAUUUACCGGAGCGGCCACUCUGUGCAGAGCGCUGGGCCGAGCCCUCGGAAAGGACGGCUCCCCCUUUCGUCCCCCCCCCACCCCUUUCCCGUUCACCCACUCGAUCGUAUCUCGGCCUAA